CGAACGGGUGAGUAAUGCGUGACCAACCUGCCCCAUGCUCCAGAAUAGCUCUUGGAAACGGGUGGUAAUGCUGGAUGCUCCAACUUGACGCAUGUCUUGUUGGGAAAGUGUUUAGUGGCAUGGGAUGGGGUCGCGUCCUAUCAGCUUGUAGGCGGGGUAAUGGCCCACCUAGGCUUCGACGGGUAGCCGGCCUGAGAGGGCGGACGGCCACAUUGGGUACUGAGAUACGGCCCAGACUCCUACGGGAGGCAGCAGGC
rnacentral:rRNA from 1 species